UUCAUCACUAUAUUGCUUGAUUCGGCACGUAUACUUGCGUAUAUUGAGAUUUUUAUAAUUUUUAUAUCAAAGAAAAUCGAAGCAUUGUUUAGGAAUUGAUAGAGCCCUAACUUAUUUUUACAAUUCUUUAGGUUACACCUCCGCUCCCAUCAACUAUGUGGAAGCUUCACAAUCCUGCAACAGAUGAAAUUGAAACUUCUUCAGCAUGAGGUGAAGCUGCUUGUCAUUGAUAGCAUGGCUGCACUUGUUUCAGGGAAUAUGUCUGAUCUUACUCAGCAUCUAUGUGACUAUAUUUAUGUUUUGGAGUAUCACAUUAUCGAUGCACAUAAUAUG